rnacentral:rRNA from 1 species
UGGUGAAUUUUGGACAAUGGGCGCAAGCCUGAUCCAGCAAUGCCACGUGCAGGAAGAAGGCCUUCGGGUUGUAAACUGCUUUUGUACGGAACGAAACGGUCUUUUUUAAUACAAGGGGCUAAUGACGGUACCGUAAGAAUAAGCACCGGCUAACUACGUGCCAGCAGCCGCGGUAAUACGUAGGGUGCAAGCGUUAAUCGGAAUUACUGGGCGUAAAGCGUGCGCAGGCGGUUAUGUAAGACAGAUGUGAAAUCCCCGGGCUCAACCUGGGAACUGCAUUUGUGACUGCAUAGCUAGAGUACGGUAGAGGGGGAUGGAAUUCCGCGUGUAGCAGUGAAAUGCGUAGAUAUGCGGAGGAACACUGAUGGCGAAGGCAAUCCCCUGGGCCUGCACUGACGCUCAUGCACGAAAGCGGGGGGAGCAAACA